AGCUUCAUGAGACCUCUAAUAAUCUUCUCGUUACGUUCUUCUUCCUUUUUACUCCCCAUUUCUCUACAGAUUCAAAACCUAUGAACCACAAACCAAAGAAAACAGAGCUUUUUUGGACCUCAAAACCCAAAAAUAUUCAAAAGACAAAACCCAAAAAAAAAAUCUAGGGUUUGAAUGGGGUUUUUGAAUUCUGGUAUUUUUUGAAUUCUGUUAUUAGAUGAACAGUCUAAAAAAUAAGCUCGAUUGAGACCACGAAAGACGAAACCACGCACUCUCUCUCUCUCCUCGCGUCUUUCGUUCAUAAAUUAACAUAAAAAAAAGGUCGCUUUUG
rnacentral:misc_RNA from 1 species